rnacentral:lncRNA from 1 species
CAAUGCAAACAAGCGGGGAAGCAGAAGAUGUGCUGAGAGCAACUGAUUCCAUGAGUGUUUGCACUGGAGUAAUGCGACUUGAAGAUUAUGAAGAAAGGUAUUUUACGAAGAACCUUAAAUCCCACGUAGUGACCCUCGAGCAAAUGUACUUCAGCAGCAAUUGCCUGGGUCAGGUCGCUGAAAGAGGUACGCAGUGUGUGUCUUGCCGCUACUUGAAACGAGCACUGCAGAUCAGACGAGCGAGGGUCAAAAGAACUGAUAAAAAGAGCGGCCGAUCUGUUGUGCUUAAACUGCGAGCUGCAGCGAGAAGAAACAAGAGGCUAGUUGUUCGCCUAGGAGAUGUGAAAAAUGAACUUGCUAAAAUGAGAGGGAAAAAUGCUGCCAUUCAAGCAGAAGCAUUAGAAGCACAGAUCUCAAAACUGCCCCCCAGACAGCAGGAAGCUGUUCGACAGUGCUUCGCAGCUUCAAAAGUGAAACCUAAUGGUCUACGCUACACGAAAAUGUGGGUCCUGGACUGCAUAAUAAUGAAGAUGAAAAGUCCUCGUCUGUAUGAGCAUCUUCGCCGUAAUAGCAUUCUUUCCCUACCGUGCAAAUCAACCCUCAAGCGCUAUGUAUCUGCAUAUCGCACUGUGUUUGGCUUCAGCGACAAAGUUCUGAGGCAGCUAAAAGUGAAGUCAGCUGAGCUUGAUGCCUGGAAAAAACAUGGUAGAUUAGUUAUAGACGAGCUAAAGCUGUCGGAACACUUUGCAGUUAAAACGUCUGGGGUUAUUGAGGGUUUUGUAGACCUAGGCCCUUUCACAGCAGCCAAAGACAAAGGUGUCCCAUGUGACCAUGGCAUGGUUAUACUAUUUGU